rnacentral:rRNA from 1 species
GGCGCUUCAUACCCACCUAGAGGAGCCUGUUCUAGAACCGAUAACCCCCGUUUAACCUCACCUUCUCUUGUUAUUUACAGCCUAUAUACCGCCGUCGUCAGCCCACCCUGUGAAGGCCCAGUAGUGAGCAGAAUUGGCACAACCCAAAACGUCAGGUCAAGGUGUAGCGCAUGGGAAGGGAAGAAAUGGGCUACAAUUGCCGAAACAGCUAAAACGAAUUGUACCGCUGAAACCGCACACAUGAAGGAGGAUUUAGGAGUAAGAGAGAAAGCAGAGUGCCUCUCUGAAACGGCCCUGAAGCGUGCACACACCGCCCGUCACUCUCCCCAAGUUAAGAAAUUAAAGAUAACUAAACACCUAAACCUACAAAGGGGAGGCAAGUCGUAACAUGGUAAGUGUACCGGAAGGUGCACUUGGAGUAAAU